UACGUAGGGUGCAAGCGUUGUCCGGAAUUAUUGGGCGUAAAGGGCUCGUAGGCGGUUUGUCGCGUCGGGAGUGAAAACUCAGGGCUUAACCCUGAGCCUGCUUCCGAUACGGGCAGACUAGAGGUAUGCAGGGAGAAUGGAAUUUCCUGGUGUAGCGGUGAAAUGCGCAGAUAUCAGGAGGAACACCCGGUGGCGAAGGGCGCCACUC
rnacentral:rRNA from 1 species